UACGUAGGGGGCAAGCGUUGUCCGGAUUUAUUGGGCGUAAAGAGCGUGUAGGCGGCCUGAAAGGUCAGCUGUGAAAACUCGAGGCUCAACCUCGAGACGUCGGUUGAAACCAUCUGGCUAGAGUCCGGAAGAGGAGUGUGGAAUUCCCGGUGUAGCGGUGAAAUGCGCAGAUAUCGGGAGGAACACCAGUGGCGAAGGCGGCGAUCUGGGUAGAUACUGACGCUGAGGUGCGAAAGCGUGGGGAGCAAACAGG
rnacentral:rRNA from 1 species